rnacentral:rRNA from 1 species
GACGAACGCUGGCGGCGUGCCUAAUACAUGCAAGUUGAGCGCUGAAGGUUGGUACUUGUACCGACUGGAUGAGCAGCGAACGGGUGAGUAACGCGUGGGGAAUCUGCCUUUGAGCGGGGGACAACAUUCGGAAACGAAUGCUAAUACCGCAUAAAAACUUUAAACACUAGUUUUAAGUUUGAAAGAUGCAAUUGCAUCACCCAAAGAUGAUCCCGCGUUGUAUUAGCUUGUUGGUGAGGUAAAGGCCCACCAAGGCGAUGAUACAUAGCCGGCCUGAAAGGGUGAUCGGCCACAUUGGGAAUGAGACACGGCCCAAACUCCUACGGGAGGCAGCAGUAGGGAAUCUUCGGCAAUGGACGAAAGUCUGACCGAGCAACGCCGCGUGAGUGAAGAAGGUUUUCGGAUCGUAAAACUCUGUUGGUAGAGAAGAACGUUGGUGAGAGUGGAAAGCUCAUCAAGUGACGGUAACUACCCAGAAAGGGACGGCUAACUACGUG